AGUAAUAUAUCGGAACGUACCCAAGAGUGGGGGAUAACGUAGCGAAAGUUACGCUAAUACCGCAUACGAUCUAAGGAUGAAAGCAGGGGACCGCAAGGCCUUGUGCUCCUGGAGCGGCCGAUAUCUGAUUAGCUAGUUGGUAGGGUAAAGGCCUACCAAGGCUACGAUCAGUAGCUGGUCUGAGAGGACGACCAGCCACACUGGAACUGAGACACGGUCCGG
rnacentral:rRNA from 1 species